rnacentral:rRNA from 1 species
UACGUAGGGUGCAAGCGUUGUCCGGAAUUAUUUGGGCGUAAAGAGCUCGUAGGCGGUUUGUCGCGUCUGCCGUGGAAAGUCCGGGCUCAACUCCGGAUCUGCGGUGGGUACGGGCAGACGUAGAGUGUUGCAGGGGAGACUGGAAUUCCUGGUGUAGCGGUGAAAUGCGCAGAUAUCAGGAGGAACACCGGUGGCGAAGGCGGGUCUCUGGGCAACAACUGACGCUGGAGGAGCGAAAGCGUGGGGAGCGAACAGG